AUAAUACUCCAUAGAUUAGAGACACUGGAAUGUUCUUUAGUCGAAAGUUCUGGCGCCUUAGGAUGGAUCUGCGGUCGAUUAGGUUGUUGUUGGGGUAACGGCCCAACAAGCCUGUAAUCGAUACGGGUUGUGGGAGCAAGAGCCCGGAGAUGGAAUCUGAGACACGAUUCCAGGCCCUACGGGGCGCAGCAGGCGCGAAAACUUUACAAUGCAGGAAACUGUGAUAAGGGAACUCCGAGUGCCCGUAUACGCGGGCUGUCCAGGUGUUUAAAAAUCAUCUGAAGAAAGGGCCGGGCAAGACCGGUGCCAGCCGCCGCGGUAAUACCGGCGGCUCGAGUGGUGGCCACUAUUAUUGGGCUUAAAGCGUCCGUAGCUGGACCGAUAAGUCUCUUGGGAAAUCCGCCUGCUCAACCGGCGGGCGUCUAAGGGAUACUGUUAGUCUAGGGACCGGGAGAGGUGAGAGGUACUCCGGGGGUAGGAGUGAAAUCCUGUAAUCCCCGGGGGACCACCGAUGGCGAAGGCAUCUCACCAGAACGGCUCCGACAGUGAGGGACGAAAGCUGGGGGAGCGAACCGGAUUAGAUACCCGGGUAGUCCCAGCCGUAAACUAUGCGCGUUAGGUGU
rnacentral:rRNA from 1 species